CUGCUGCCUCCCGUAGGAGUUUGGGCCGUGUCUCAGUCCCAAUGUGGCCGAUCAACCUCUCAGUUCGGCUACGCAUCAUUGCCUUGGUAAGCCUUUACCCCACCAACUAGCUAAUGCGCCGCGGGGCCAUCCAAAAGCGGUAGCAUAGCCACCUUUUACAUAGUUACCAUGCGGUAACUAUGGUUAUGCGGUAUUAGCACCUGUUUCCAAGUGUUAUCCCCCUCUUUUGGGCAGGUUGCCCACGUGUUACUCACCCGUUCGCCA
rnacentral:rRNA from 1 species